UACGUAGGGAGCAAGCGUUGUUCGGAUUUACUGGGCGUAAAGGGCGCGUAGGCGGCAAAUUAAGUCAGCUGUGAAAUCUCCGAGCUUAACUCGGAACGGUCAGCUGAUACUGCUUUGCUAGAGUGCAGAAAGGGCAAUCGGAAUUCUUGGUGUAGCGGUGAAAUGCGUAGAUAUCAAGAGGAACACCUGAGGCGAAGGCGGGUUGCUAGGCUGACACUGACGCUGAGGCGCGAAAGCCAGGGGAGCGAACGGG
rnacentral:rRNA from 1 species